GACUCCAGACCUACAGAACCAGAGUCUAUGAGUGGGGCCUAGUGCCCAGGUGAUUCUGAUUUAAAUCAGGGCUCCCAUUUCCCUCUCACUCACACCAAGCAUGGGUAGUUUGUCUACACCCAGAAGACAGGUCCCUCCCAUCCAGUCAGCUCUCUGCAACCAUCUGGAGUCAGACGGAAGUCUCCCAUCACUGUCGAGUUCUACUGGAGCUGUUUCCCCCACCUAAUCGUCUCCCAAGCCUGUCUGCUCAGUUCAAGCCCCUGUUACCACAUAGAAAAAUCAUCAGUCUCAUCACUUCACUGUAUGCCUGAAACUCUGCAAAUCAACUCUCUGCUGUGCUGUGCUAAGUCGCUUCAGUUGUGUCUGACUCUGUGUGACCCUAAGGACUGUACCCUACCUGGCUCCUCUGUCCAUGGGAUUCUCCAGGAAAGAAUAUUGGAGUGGAUUGCCACGCUCUCUUCCAAGGGAUCUUCCCAAUCCAGGGAUCGAACCCUGGUUUCCUGCAUUGCAGGCAGAUUCUUUACCAUCUAAGCCACGAGGGAAGCCCCAAUAAUCAACUCUACUUCAAUUUUUUAAAAAUGCAUAAUAACCUGUAAUGGAAAAGAAUCUGAUAAAGAAUACAGGUAUGUGUAUGACUGAAUCACUUUGCUGUACACUUGAAACUAACACAACAUUGCAAAUUAACUGUACUUCAAAAAAAUCACAGAUGUAUGCAAAUAAAUAAAU
ensembl:lncRNA